UGCUCUCUAAAGGCACUGAUAGAUGCUACUUCUCCCGAAAAUAGUCUUGAGGACGAGGUUGGUGUAAGAAUGGUGGCUCUGUUUGAUCAUGAAGAGGUUGGGUCUAAUUCAGCACAAGGUGCUGGAUCGCCAGUCAUGUUUGAUGCUCUCUCACGAAUUACAAGUACAUUUGGUCCAGAUUCAAAGCUAAUACAGAAAGCAAUCCAGAAGAGCUUCCUGGUGUCUGCUGAUAUGGCACAUGCCUUGCAUCCUAAUUACCCAGACAAGCACGAAGAGAAUCAUCAACCCAAAUUUCAUGGUGGGCUUGUUAUUAAACACAAUGCUAAUCAACGUUAUGCAACCAAUGCAAUCACUUCCUUUGUGUUCAGAGAAAUAGCUGCUAAGCACAACAUUCCUCUUCAGGAUUUUGUGAUUCGUAAUGAUAUGCCUUGUGGCUCAACCAUUGGACCUAUAUUGGCAAGCGGGGUAGGUAUUCGAACUGUUGAUGUAGGAGCACCACAGUGGUCAAUGCACAGCAUAAGAGAAAUGUGCGCGGUGGAUGAUGUGAAGCAUUCAUAUGAUCACUUUAAGGCUUUCUUCCAAGAUUUCUCACAACUUGAUGGGAAGAUCGCCGUUGACAUCUAGGCCAUAUAUGAUUGGUAAUGCCUUGUACUGUUGAAUUACAUAGGAAAAAUAAAACUUGUACAACAGUUUUAAUUCCCCCAGCUAGAAUUCAACAAUCAAAAGAUUUGACAAUGGACAAUGGUGUCCAUUACAACUGGUGCUUGUUAUUCACCUUCUGAGAACUAAUACAUCUGUUGAAAACUAGCUGUGUGUUCCUUUUUUUGGAAUGAGCAAG
rnacentral:misc_RNA from 1 species